CUACGGGGUGCUCCAGUGGGGAAUAUUGCACAAUGGACGAAAGUCUGAUGCAGCAACGCCGCGUGGAGGAUGACACAUUUCGGUGCGUAAACUCCUUUUAUAUAAGAAGAUAAUGACGGUAUUAUAUGAAUAAGCACCGGCUAACUCCGUGCCAGCAGCCGCGGUAAUACGGGGGGUGCAAGCGUUACUCGGAAUCACUGGGCGUAAAGCGCAUGUAGGCGGACUUGUAAGUUGGAAGUGAAAUCCUAUGGCUCAACCAUAGAACUGCUUCCAAAACUGCUUGUCUAGAAUAUGGGAGAGGUAGAUGGAAUUUCUGGUGUAGGGGUAACAUCCGUAGAGAUCAGAAGGAAUACCGAUUGCGAAGGCGAUCUACUGGAACAUUAUUGACGCUCAGAUGCGAAAGCGUGGGGAGCAAACAGGAUUAGAUACCCUAGUAGUC
rnacentral:rRNA from 1 species